UACAGAGAGAACAAGCGUUGCCUAUGAUGACUGGGCGUAAAGGGUACGUAGGCGGACAUUAUUUCUAGAGCUUUGGUGAAAUGUUUGCGUAUUGACGCAAGUCUACCAUUGCACUGUUUGUCUUGAGAUAUGAAGAGGUUAAUGGAAAGCAAUGUAGAAACGGCCUUUUGGUCUUAAUAUAUUGAGUAACACCAGUGGCGUAGGCGAUUAACCGGUAGUAAUAAUAUAUGUAUAUACUAAAUAUACAUAUUCUGACGCUAAUGUACGAAAACGGCGGGGGAGCAAAAAGGG
rnacentral:rRNA from 1 species